rnacentral:rRNA from 1 species
CUAAGAAUAUUCCGCAAUGGACGGAAGUCUGACGGAGCGACGCCGCGUGGAUGACGAAGGCCGAAAGGUUGUAAAGUUCUUUUGCUGGGGAAGAAUAACCGCAGGAGGGAAUGCCUGUGGGAUGACAAGAACCGGCGAAUAAGCCCCGGCCAACUACGUGCCAGCAGCCGCGGUAACACGUAGGGGGCGAGCGUUGUUCGGAAUUACUGGGCGUAAAGGGCAUGUAGGCGGCUUGGAAAGCCUGGCGUGAAAGUCUGCAGCUUAACUGCAGGGGUGCGCUGGGAACUGCUGAGCUUGAGUGACGGAGAGGGAGCUGGAAUUCCUGGGGUAGGGGUGAAAUCUGUAGAUAUCAGGAAGAACACCGAUGGCGAAGGCAAGCUCCUGGCCGAUGACUGACGCUGAGGUGCGAAAGUGUGGGGAUCAAACA